rnacentral:rRNA from 1 species
CGAACCGUGCGAACGUUGUUCGGAAUCACUGGGCUUAAAGGGCGCGUAGGCGGGGGAGCAAGUCCGGGGUGAAAUCGUUCGGCUCAACCGAACCACUGCCUCGGAUACUGCUCCUCUCGAGGGGGGUAGGGGCGAGCUGGAACUUCCGGUGGAGCGGUGAAAUGCGUUGAUAUCGGAAGGAACGCCGGUGGCGAAAGCGAGCUGCUGGACCUUUUCUGACGCUGAGGCGCGAAAGCCAGGGGAGCAAACGGGAUUAGAUACCCCGGUAGUCCUGGCCCUAAACGAUGGGUACUAGGUAGCGGACUAGACAUGGGUUCGCUGCCGAAGCUAAAGUGCUAAGUACCCCGCCUGGAGAGUAUGGUCGCAAGGCUGA